AACAUUUCACAACACGAGCUGACGACAGCCAUGCAGCACCUGUCUCACGGUUCCCGAAGGCACUAAGGCAUCUCUGCCAAAUUCCGUGGAUGUCAAGAGUAGGUAAGGUUCUUCGCGUUGCAUCGAAUUAAACCACAUGCUCCACCGCUUGUGCGGGCCCCCGUCAAUUCAUUUGAGUUUUAACCUUGCGGCCGUACUCCCCAGGCGGUCGACUUAACGCGUUAGCUCCGGAAGCCACUCCUCAAGGGAACAACCUCCAAGUCGACAUCGUUUACGGCGUGGACUACCAGGGUAUCUAAUCCUGUUUGCUCCCCACGCUUUCGCACCUCAGUGUCAGUAUGAGCCCAGGUGGUCGCCUUCGCCACUGGUGUUCCUUCCUAUAUCUACGCAUUUCACCGCUACACAGGAAAUUCCACCACCCUCUGCCCUACUCUAGCUUGCCAGUUUUGGAUGCAGUUCCCAGGUUGAGCCCGGGGCUUUCACAUUCAACUUAACAAACCACCUACGCGCGCUUUACGCCCAGUAAUUCCGAUUAACGCUUGCACCCUCUGUAUUACCGCGGCUGCUGGCACAGAGUUAGCCGGUGCUUAUUCUGUCGGUAACGUCAAAAUCGUCACGUAUUAGGUAACGACCCUUCCUCCCAACUUAAAGUGCUUUACAAUCCGAAGACCUUCUUCACACACGCGGCAUGGCUGGAUCAGGCUUUCGCCCAUUGUCCAAUAUUCCCCACUGCUGCCUCCCGUAGGAGUCUGGACCGUGUCUCAGUUCCAGUGUGGCUGGUCAUCCUCUCAGACCAGCUAGGGAUCGUCGCCUAGGUGAGCCAUUACCCCACCUACUAGCUAAUCCCAUCUGGGCACAUCUGAUGGCAAGAGGCCCGAAGGUCCCCCUCUUUGGUCUUGCGACGUUAUGCGGUAUUAGCUACCGUUUCCAGUAGUUAUCCCCCUCCAUCAGGCAGUUUCCCAGACAUUACUCACCCGUCCGCCGCUCGUCACCCGAGAGCAAGCUCUCUGUGCUACCGCUC
rnacentral:rRNA from 1 species